UACGGGGGGGGCAAGCGUUGUUCGGAAUUACUGGGCGUAAAGGGCGCGUAGGCGGCCAACUAAGUCGGACGUGAAAUCCCUCGGCUUAACCGAGGAACUGCGUCCGAUACUGGAUGGCUCGAGUUUGGGAGAGGGAUGCGGAAUUCCAGGUGUAGCGGUGAAAUGCGUAGAUAUCUGGAGGAACACCGGUGGCGAAGGCGGCAUCCUGGACCAACACUGACACUGAGGAGCGAAAGCCAGGGGAGCAAACGGG
rnacentral:rRNA from 1 species